GAUGAACGCUGGCGGCGUGCCUAAUACAUGCAAGUCGAGCGAACAGACGAGAGUGCUUGCACUCUCUGACGUUAGCGGCGGACGGGUGAGUAACACGUGGGUAACCUACCUAUAAGACUGGGAUAACUUCGGGAAACCGGCGCUAAUACCGGAUAAUAUUUAGCUUCGCAUGAAGCAAUAGUGAAAGACGGUUCUGCUGUCACUUAUAGAUGGACCCGCGGUGUAUUAGCUAGUUGGUGAGGUAACGGCUCACCAAGGCAACGAUACAUAGCCGACCUGAGAGGGUGAUCGGCCACACUGGGACUGAGACACGGCCCAGACUCCUACGGGAGGCAGCAGUAGGGAAUCUUCCGCAAUGGACGAAAGUCUGACGGAGCAAUGCCGCGUGAGUGAAGAAGGUUUUCGGAUCGUAAAACUCUGUUGUAAGGGAAGAACAAGUACGUUAGUAACUGAACGUACCUUGACGGUACCUUACCAGAAAGCCACGGCUAACUACGUG
rnacentral:rRNA from 1 species